AGUAACGCGUAGGUAACCUGCCUGGUAGCGGGGGAUAACUAUUGGAAACGAUAGCUAAUACCGCAUAACAGUAGAUAUCGCAUGAUAGCUUCUUGAAAGGUGCAACUGCACCACUACCAGAUGGACCUGCGUUGUAUUAGCUAGUUGGUGAGGUAACGGCUCACCAAGGCAACGAUACAUAGCCGACCUGAGAGGGUGAUCGGCCACACUGGGACUGAGACACGGCCCAGACUCCUACGGGAGGCAGCAGUAGGGAAUCUUCGGCAAUGGACGGAAGUCUGACCGAGCAACGCCGCGUGAGUGAAGAAGGUUUUCGGAUCGUAAAGCUCUGUUGUAAGAGAAGAACGAGUGUGAGAGGGAAAGUCACACUGGACG
rnacentral:rRNA from 1 species